CUUGUCCAUUGUAAGUUGUUUCUGUAACUCUUGUAUUUUCACUGAAUAGUCAGUCUUGUCCCCCUUUGAUGAACUCUUUAGGCGCCUAAGAAGUGCCUCCAACUCCAAUGUCUUGUGUUUCCUUAAACGCAUUGCUGCUUGCCAUUCACUAGAAGUUAGUCUUUCCUCAUAGGACCUAAAUAGAGCAUCUGCAUAGUGUGCAAGAUUGAAAUAAGUUUGGCUUUGUCUUUCUAUGGACUUUUUGUCAACAGUUUUCUGAUCCUCAGCCAGAGAAACUGCAGGUUUCAGAUACUUCUCUAAGAUGGUUCUUGAG
rnacentral:misc_RNA from 1 species